rnacentral:rRNA from 1 species
AGUGAACGCUGGCGGUAGGCCUAACACAUGCAAGUCGAACGGCAGCACAGUAAGAGCUUGCUCUUACGGGUGGCGAGUGGCGGACGGGUGCGGAAUACAUCGGAAUCUACUUUUUCGUGGGGGAUAACGUAGGGAAACUUACGCUAAUACCGCAUACGACCUACUGGUGAAAGCAGGGGAUCUUCGGACCUUGCGCGAUUGAAUGAGCCGAUGUCGGAUUAGCUAGUUGGCGGGGUAAAGGCCCACCAAGGCGACGAUCCGUAGCUGGUCUGAGAGGAUGAUCAGCCACACUGGAACUGAGACACGGUCCAGACUCCUACGGGAGGCAGCAGUGGGGAAUAUUGGACAAUGGGCGCAAGCCUGAUCCAGCCAUGCCGCGUGGGUGAAGAAGGUCUUCGGGUUGUAAAGCCCUUUUAUUUGGAAAGAAAAGCAGCAGGUUAAUACCCCGCUGUUCUGACGGUACCCAAAGAAUAAGCACCGGCUAACUUCGUG